rnacentral:rRNA from 1 species
CAGGCUUAACACAUGCAAGUCGAGGGGCAGCAUUUUAGUUUGCUUGCAAACUAAAGAUGGCGACCGGCGCACGGGUGAGUAACACGUAUCCAACCUGCCGAUAACUCGGGGAUAGCCUUUCGAAAGAAAGAUUAAUAUCCGAUAGUAUAUUAAAACCGCAUGGUUUUACUAUUAAAGAAUUUCGGUUAUCGAUGGGGAUGCGUUCCAUUAGUUUGUUGGCGGGGUAACGGCCCACCAAGACAACGAUGGAUAGGGGUUCUGAGAGGAAGGUCCCCCACAUUGGAACUGAGACACGGUCCAAACUCCUACGGGAGGCAGCAGUGAGGAAUAUUGGUCAAUGGACGAGAGUCUGAACCAGCCAAGUAGCGUGAAGGAUGACUGCCCUAUGGGUUGUAAACUUCUUUUAUAUGGGAAUAAAGUAUUCCACGUGUGGGAUUUUGUAUGUACCAUAUGAAUAAGGAUCGGCUAACUCCGUGCCAGCAGCCGCGGUAAUACGGAGGAUCCGAGCGUUAUCCGGAUUUAUUGGGUUUAAAGGGAGCGUAGGUGGAUUGUUAAGUCAGUUGUGAAAGUUUGCGGCUCAACCGUAAAAUUGCAGUUGAAACUGGCAGUCUUGAGUACAGUAGAGGUGGGCGGAAUUCGUGGUGUAGCGGUGAAAUGCUUAGAUAUCACGAAGAACUCCGAUUGCGAAGGCAGCUCACUAGACUGCAACUGACACUGAUGCUCGAAAGUGUGGGUAUCAAACAGGAUUAGAUACCCUGGUAGUCCACACAGUAAACGAUGAAUACUCGCUGUUUGCGAUAUACAGUAAGCGGCCAAGCGAAAGCAUUAAGUAUUCCACCUGGGGAGUACGCCGGCAACGGUGAAACUCAAAGGAAUUGACGGGGGCCCGCACAAGCGGAGGAACAUGUGGUUUAAUUCGAUGAUACGCGAGGAACCUUACCCGGGCUUAAAUUGCAUUUGAAUAAUCUGGAAACAGGUUAGCCGCAAGGCAAAUGUGAAGGUGCUGCAUGGUUGUCGUCAGCUCGUGCCGUGAGGUGUCGGCUUAAGUGCCAUAACGAGCGCAACCCUUAUCUUUAGUUACUAACAGGUCAUGCUGAGGACUCUAGAGAGACUGCCGUCGUAAGAUGUGAGGAAGGUGGGGAUGACGUCAAAUCAGCACGGCCCUUACGUCCGGGGCUACACACGUGUUACAAUGGGGGGUACAGAAGGCAGCUACCUGGCGACAGGAUGCUAAUCCCAAAAACCUCUCUCAGUUCGGAUCGAAGUCUGCAACCCGACUUCGUGAAGCUGGAUUCGCUAGUAAUCGCGCAUCAGCCAUGGCGCGGUGAAUACGUUCCCGGGCCUUGUACACACCGCCCGUCAAGCCAUGAAAGCCGGGGGUACCUGAAGUACGUAACCGCAAGGAGCGUCCUAGGGUAAAACUGGUAAUUGGGGCUAAGUCGUA